rnacentral:lncRNA from 1 species
UUUCCACUCUCCUGUGCUGACUGAAACGAAGUAUGACACCAGUCUUGCCCAGGCAAGCUGCUUCUUGUGAAUAGGAAGUGAACAACCCUGGAUUCCAGGCCAGGGGGAGAGAGAUAUGAACUCAUCAGCAGAAAUGUGAGUUCUUCCCAGCUUCUCCGUGCUGAUACCCCAUGGUUCUCCUACCACCAGAUGCUACUGAGGCUAAACUGACUGGACUGAGGAAAAAUAUCUGUGGGGAAAACUUUCUUUCAGAAUCCAACUUUGAACCAGAGAAAUCCAUUCUCUUGAAGCUGUCUGCUGUGGAGAAGUUGGCCUUACCAAUCUGCCUUUGAAGUUCAAGUUAUACAGGAUCUGCGAGGCUACCUGUGAAUGAAUGGUUGGUUGGUCACUACUUGCAAGUUUUUCAGGAGCUCCUGAAAGAUUACUGCAUAAAUAAGGGAAGAUGGAGACCAGACCUCUGGCUACUGUUGCUGCCACCACUACAGAUACCACCUUCACCCUUAUGAACCCCCUAUUUACUGAACAUUCUCUAUAUGCCAGGUAACAUGCCCUGCACUUGUGAAAUAAGGACUGUUAUUUCCCCUAUUUUAUAAAAGAGGAGCUGAGGCUCAGAGAGAUUAUGUUACUUGCCCAAGAUCAGAUAGCUAGUAAGUGGCAGAGAUGAGAUUCUGUCUGAGUCCAGCUUACACCAUAACUGAUAUUCUUGACAAUCGGGCUGGAUAGAAAAGGAUAAGAUAUGAGAAUUUUGGUGCUAUGAUUUGAAUUUUCCUUCCAAAGCUCAUGUUGAAACUUAAUCCCCAAAGUAACAGUACUGAUAGGUGGGGUCUUUAACAUGGAGUCCCAGAAUUGGAUCGUGAGGGCUCUGCCCUGAUAAAUGAAUUAUUCCACUCAUGAUUAAUGGAUUAAUAGAUCAUCAUGGGAGUGGAACAGUGGCUUUAUAAGAAGAGGAAGAGAGACCUGAGGUAGAACACUCAGCGCCCUUGCCAUGUGAUGCUCUGUACUGCCUUGGGACUCUGCAGAGUCUCUCUACCAGCAAGAAGGUCCUCACCAGAUGCAGUCCCUUGACCUUGGCCUUCUUAGCUUCUACAACUGUCAUAAAUAAUUUUUUCUUUAUAAAUUACCCAGUUUUGGGAGUUCUAUUAUAAGCAAUAAAAACCAGUCAAA